rnacentral:rRNA from 1 species
AGAGUUUGAUCCUGGCUCAGAACGAACGCUGGCGGCGCGUUUUAAGCAUGCAAGUCGGGCGGCAAGGGCCUUCGGGCCCCUAGAGCGGCGGACGGGUGAGUAACACGUGGACAAUCUGCCCCCCGGUCCGGGAUAGCCCAGGGAAACCUGGAUUAAUACCGGAUGAGACGGGACCCGCGAGGGCGGGAUCCGGGAAAGGCGCUACGGCGCCGCCGGGGGAUGAGUCUGCGUCCCAUUAGCUAGACGGCGGGGUAACGGCCCACCGUGGCGUCGAUGGGUAGCCGGCCUGAGAGGGUGAACGGCCACAUUGGAACUGAGACACGGUCCAGACUCCUACGGGAGGCAGCAGCUAAGAAUCUUCCGCAAUGGGCGAAAGCCUGACGGAGCGACGCCGCGUGAACGAAGAAGGCCGUGAGGUUGUAAAGUUCUUUUCGGGAGGGGGAACAACCGUGGCAGGGAAUGGCCGCGGGAUGACGUGAAUCCCGGAAUAAGCCCCGGCUAACUACGUGCCAGCAGCCGCGGUAACACGUAGGGGGCGAGCGUUGUUCGGAAUCAUUGGGCGUAAAGGGCGUGCAGGCGGUCCUGCAAGUCCGGCGUGAAAUACCCCGGCCCAACCGGGGGGACGCGCUGGAAACUGCAGGGCUUGAGUACAGGAGGGGAUGCCGGAAUUCCAGGUGUAGGGGUGAAAUCUGUAGAUAUCUGGAAGAACACCAAUGGCGAAGGCAGGCAUCUGGCCAUGUACUGACG